GACGAACGCUGGCGGCGUGCUUAACACAUGCAAGUCGAACGGAAAGGCCCCUUUGGGGGUACUCGAGUGGCGAACGGGUGAGUAACACGUGAGUAACCUGCCCUUGACUUCGGGAUAACUUCAGGAAACUGGGGCUAAUACCGGAUAGGAAUCCUUGCUGCAUGGUGGGGGUUGGAAAGCUUCGGCGGUUUUGGAUGGACUCGCGGCUUAUCAGCUUGUUGGUGGGGUAGUGGCUUACCAAGGCUUUGACGGGUAGCCGGCCUGAGAGGGCGACCGGCCACAUUGGGACUGAGAGACGGCCCAGACGCCUACGGGAGGCAGCAGUGGGGAAUAUUGCACAAGGGGCGGAAGCCUGAUGCAGCAACGCCGCGGGCGGGAUGACGGCCUUCGGGUUGUAAACCGCUUUCAGCAGGGGCGAAGCUUGUGGUGACGGUACCUGCAGAAGAAGCACCGGCUAACUACGUG
rnacentral:rRNA from 1 species